AUUUACUUCAAAUUCUUCUUCUUUCUCAAUUCGAACACUUUCCUUUUCCGAUGCGCUGCUUAAAGCUCUAUCCUUUCAAUUACGCUGAGAAAAUCCGGUGCUCUCUUUUCAAAUAUACUCAUAUUAAAGACAUUUCCUUCUUUCUUUUUUAUUGUUUUAUUAUCUCUUAGGGUGUUGUUCAUUACGCUGUUUAAGUUGGUCUAUAGUCUCAUAUCAUUGAAUUGUUAAAGAAUGUAAGCGCUUUGGUGCUGCCCAUUUGGUAAUUAUGAGGAAUGGUGAAAUGGAUGUUUUCAGUGUAGAAGAGAAUGAAGAUGCAGCUAAAAGAGAGAAUGGAAUUUACUGGCCGCCUCCACAUACUCAUGUCCAACACGAAUGCUCCAAAACUGAAUCGGAGCAGAAGUUGGAGGUAUCAGGAGGUGGAGUUUUGCAUUCUAUAAAGGACCAGAAUGGAACAUAUAUGUCACUGUUUUCUACGAGGGCUUAUAGGACACAAAGCCAUACAUCUGACUAUCCUUAUUGUACAAAUAAAAAUAAUUCAUCAAAGCAUCAGGCCUCCUUAGAAACAGAUAUUGAGCUGCUGCAAUUUCGAUUGCAGCAGCUCAAUCUGCAAGCCAGUGAAAUCUAUGCGCCUGAUGCUAGAUAGAGCAAUGGGCCGAGCUUCAAGUACUUUAUCUCCUGGACAUAGACAUUUUGCUACUCAGACAAAGGAGUUGAUUGCAGAGAUUGAGUUACUGGAAGAAGAGGUCACAAACCGCGAGCAGCAUGUGCUCUCUAUGUAUCGGUGUAUUUUUGAAAAUUGUGUUAGUCAGGCUCCUUCUGAUCCAAACUCAGGGGUUGCUUCUCCUGCCCAUACAAAGCAAGUAUCCAGGAAACACCCAAGUAUUAUUUCAAGUGCUUUCUGCUCGUCAAAAAAGUUGCCUCUGCGACCCCUGCAAGCUCUAGUUUCUAUCAGGGAGUCUGCGAAAAUAUCCUCCAAGGCUAGUGAUGCUCCAUCAUUCCUUGGAAAAAGUGAUAUUCAAUUUGAGAAGACUUUUGACUGCGUCAGGGCUGAGGAACAGAUUCACGUUAUGGAGAAAUCCUCAAUGCUGCGAACUCUAAAAGACCAUCUUUAUCAGUGCCCAAGCAAGUUGUCUGAGGAAAUGGUUAGGUGUAUGGCUGCAGUAUACUGCUGGCUUCAUAGCACAGCAUCUGUCCCUGGAAAAAAUAGAUCACCUCUAUUGUCGAGGUCAUCCACUAACCUUGUAAUCCCUCGGCAUGAUAUUGGACAGGAUCGAGAUUGGUCUUGCAAAUCCACGGUAGAAAUAUCUUGGAAAUCAACUGAUAGAAGUCAGUUAUCUAGUGCAUCUUAUGCCAUCAACAACUAUAGAGUUCUUGUGAAGCAAAUGGAGAAGGUGACUGUUCAUCAGAUGGAAAACAAUGCCCAAAUUGCUUUCUGGAUCAAUGUGUAUAAUGCCCUUGUUAUGCAGGCCUAUUUAGCAUAUGGAAUCCCUCGCAGCUCUCUGAGGAGGUUAGCCUUGUUUCAUAAGGCUGCUUAUAACAUUGGUAGCCACAUAAGCAGUGCAAAUGCUAUAGAACAGUCAAUCUUCGGCUUUCGCACACCCGAGUUGGAACGAUGGCUUGAGACCAUCCUUUCCACUGCGUUGCGGAAAAAAUCCAGUGAAGAAAGGCAACUUAUUAGUUCCAAGUUUGGUCUAUCAGAUGCCCAACCCCUAGUCUGCUUUGCCCUCUGCACUGGAGCUUUCUCUGAUCCUGUGCUAAAAGUGUAUAAAGCAUCAAGUGUUAAAGAGGAAAUGGAGGUAGCAAAAAGAGAGUUUCUUCAAACAAAUACAGUUGUAAAAAAAUCGAGGAAAGUGUUUCUACCCAAAUUGCUUGAAAGAUUUGCAAAGGAAGCCUCUAUCAACUCAGAUGAUCUUCUUGAAUGGAUUACCGAAAAUGUCGAUAAGAAACUCCAUGAUUCAAUUAAGAAAUGCAGUCAUAGGAAAUCAAGCAAGAAGGCAUCUCAGAUCAUAGAGUGGUUACCUUACAGCUCAAGGUUCCAGUAUAUUUUCUCAAAGGAAUUAACAGAGAAGCCAUGGUGGGUUUGAGUGGGACAAUGUCUCUAUCACAACUCGGUCAGUAAUCAGUAUUGCUUGGCUUGAAUUGUAGCCCAUGAAUUUUGGAUUCCUUUUUGGUCACUGUAAUAUAAAUUAUGCUAUAAUUUCUUUGAAGAUUUGC